rnacentral:tRNA from 1 species
CGGAGUCUCAAUUUCUCCUUUAAA